rnacentral:pre_miRNA from 1 species
UACGUACUCCCUCCGUCCGGAAAUACUUGUCAUCAAAAUGAAUAAAAGUGGAUGUAUCUAGAUGUAUUUUAGUUCUAGAUACAUCCCUUUUUGUCCAUUUUGAUGACAAGUAUUUCCGGACGGAGGGAGUAGCUG